UACAGAGGGUGCGAGCGUUGUCCGGAAUCACUGGGCGUAAAGGGCGCGUAGGCGGCCUUCUAAGUCGAACGUGAAAUCCCCGGGCUCAACCCGGGAACUGCGUCCGAUACUGGAAGGCUUGAAUCCGGGAGAGGGAUGCGGAAUUCCGGGUGUAGUGGUGAAAUGCGUAGAUAUCCGGAGGAACACCAGUGGCGAAGGCGACUUUCUGGCCUGUUCUUGACGCUGAGGCGCGAAAGCUAGGGGAGCAAACGGG
rnacentral:rRNA from 1 species